rnacentral:tRNA from 1 species
GGAGAGAUGCCGGAGCGGUCGAACGGGCUCGCCUGGAAAGCGGGUAGGCUCUGAAAGGGGUCUCCAGGGUUCAAAUCCCUGUCUCUCCGCCA